CUUUUUUGGUGUGUAUUAAGGAACAUUUUUCCAUAGUUUCGCUAGUUCUAUUUCAUUGAUUUAGAAUCAUCUGCGAUUUGUACUGACUAAUGAGUUUGUUUGUAUCAACGAAGGCUAAGGUCGUCUUCCAGCUAAUCGUUUAAUACAUAAUGAUUUCUUGACUUGGACUAUAACUUAUUUGAAUAUCAUAUCCAUUGAGGCAAAAAUUGGCUAGAUUUCCACCACUUGAACAUAUGCCUUAAUUAAGGCCUUAUAAUCGUUAUAUGCUGCAAAGGACAUUCUAAAAAGAAAACUACAAAAGUCCGUGGUUAUGUUAUACAUGAAAGGACGAUAGCCAUUCGCCCGUUUAUAAACAUCCAAAUUAAUGGUUAUAUUAUUCAGUGGUAAUUGGAAAACUUGAGCAUGCAUAAAAGCGGCGACAGUGUUGCGGGACAGAGCUUUAAGCUUGCAUUCUCGGAAAUUCAGGAAACUUUUAUCGUAGUUCACACACUUCAAAUUCGUAAACUUUAUAUAUGCGAAAAUCGUUGCCAAUUUAGUGAGAAUAUAGAAUCCCGUAAUAACUGCAGAAGACCCCACCUUCAUUUUGUUAGCGUAAACCUCAACUGAAACUCAAGAGUCCCACAGUUUAUCGUGUGAUUAUUGUUUUUUAAUUGUUGGUUAAAUUUUGCGUAAUUGCAUACUGUAAUUUGAUUAUCAUUAUUCAUUUGAUCAUUUAUUGGAUAAAAAUAUUUUACCCGAUGGAAUGAGUCAUAAAUAUUGUACGAGUAAAUAUGCUUUAACCUAGUGUUGUCUCGCGAUUCUAAAACCAUUACUGAGUUAUACAAUAUUUCGGUGUGAUUGUGAUAUGAUGCGAUUAUUUUCGGUAGCAAAUUAACGUAUACUUUAAACUAUGUACCCUCCAACUUCAUUUCGAGAUGUUUUUUUUAGAUUCGAAAUAUUACUACUAUGAUUUCCCCUUUCCAAUCUAAGAACAAGGAGGACCUAAACAUCCUCGUCAAACAAUUCACUAAAGCUUGUCAGGAAGCUUUAGAAGUGGCUUGUCCACUAACACAUAGUAGGCGAAUAAUUAGGCCCCCAUGGUGGUCGCUUGAGCUUGAAAGAUUGCAAGCGCCAUUUUAAUGUAGGAAAACUAACUCAUGUAGAACAGAACUGCGACAAAUACUACAACAUUCUAAAGUCACAUUCUUGUCAUUAUUUUGAUUUUCUUUAUUUCAGCCAAAAACGGGACAAAUAAAACACAUCGGAGAACUAGUUGACUCAGCUGUAUUUAUAGGCGUCGUUUUAGUUGACCUAAAACCAUAUUUUGAAGAACAAGAACAAAUAUUCAAAAGAAGGUGUAGGUAUACUACAAUAGGAGUUAUAGUUAGUAUUAUGUAUAUAGAAUACUUAUAUAAAUUGAUAUUAAAUUUAAUGUGUGUAAUAUUUUAAUACAUGUACCAGUACUGUAGAAAAUUACAAGUGAAUUUAAAAUUUA